GACGAACGCUGGCGGCGUGCUUAACACAUGCAAGUCGAACGGAAAGGCCCUGCUUUUGUGGGGUGCUCGAGUGGCGAACGGGUGAGUAACACGUGAGUAACCUGCCCUUGACCUUGGGAUAACUUCAGGAAACUGGGGCUAAUACCGGAUAGGAGCUCCUGCUGCAUGGGGGGGGUUGGAAAGUUUCGGCGGUUGGGGAUGGACUCGCGGCUUAUCAGCUUGUUGGUGGGGUAGUGGCUUACCAAGGCUUUGACGGGUAGCCGGCCUGGGAGGGUGACCGGCCACAUUGGGACUGAGAUACGGCCCAGACUCCUACGGGAGGCAGCAGUGGGGAAUAUUGCACAAUGGGCGGAAGCCUGAUGCAGCAACGCCGCGUGCGGGAUGACGGCCUUCGGGUUGUAAACCGCUUUCGCCUGUGACGAAGCGUGAGUGACGGUAAUGGGUAAAGAAGCACCGGCUAACUACGUG
rnacentral:rRNA from 1 species